UUGUACUUUUAUUUCAACCAGAGGUGUUGAAACGAUACAGAAAAGAUUAGUAUGAUCCUUGUGCAAGAAUGACACAAGUCAAGAAAUGAUCCUCUUUAUU